rnacentral:rRNA from 1 species
AUUGAACGCUGGCGGCAGGCCUAACACAUGCAAGUCGAACGGUAACAGGAAACAGCUUGCUGUUUCGCUGACGAGUGGCGGACGGGUGAGUAAUGUCUGGGAAACUGCCUGAUGGAGGGGGAUAACUACUGGAAACGGUAGCUAAUACCGCAUAACGUCGCAAGACCAAAGAGGGGGACCUUCGGGCCUCUUGCCAUCGGAUGUGCCCAGAUGGGAUUAGCUAGUAGGUGGGGUAACGGCUCACCUAGGCGACGAUCCCUAGCUGGUCUGAGAGGAUGACCGGCCCACUGGGAAUGGAACACGGGCCCGACCCCCACGGGGGGGAAGAGGGGGGGAAAUUUGAAAAAGGGGGGAAAGCCGAAGGAAGCCAGGCGGGGUGUAUAAAGAAGGCCUUGGGGUGUUAAAGUAUUUUCGGGGGGGAGAAAGGGAGUAAAGUAAAUACCUUUACUCAUUGACUUUCCCCCCAAAAAAAGCCCGGGCAAACCCCGG